rnacentral:lncRNA from 1 species
CAAAGUGUUGGGAAGACUUCUUCCUCCAGAGUUUAUCCCACCAGGGAAACUUACAGAUGAGAAAAGUCUUCUGUUGAUGAUGAUCAGACUGAUACUGUGACAUUGUAGGCAAGUAAAGAAUCAUCUUUCACUUGGUGAAUACAUAUUGCAGGAGAGCGUAUUGCUGUCGAGUAUCUUCUGGCUUAGUCCAGGUAACAUUAUGUCAACUAAACCAGACGGUAAAGAAAACAUUUGAAAACUAAAAAACAAACAAACAAAAUGGAUGUACUCUUAUUAAUUACUUUAGGAAUUUGGAACCAGUGGCCCUAAGCCCCAGUCAGAUGCCAGGCCUCCAUUGGAGGAGAGUGAGGCCUCUGCUGGACACAUCCACUCUGCAUUGGAAGAGAUCAAUGUCACUUCCAUAACUGAGAGUGAUGCCGCUACUAUGUCGCUUCCUUACCCCAUUCGAGGAAAGUGGGCCCUUCACACCAGCUCCGAUCCCCACCAGAUACACCCUCAAAAGCAAAAAGACAACUUUGCCAGAACCUUGGAGAGCUUCAUGCAAGCACAGUGGCUCUGCUCCAGGCCAGCAAGCAGCGGAGUGAUUGUUCAUGGUCCAUGGUCAGGCUGCUCACAGACCAGACCACAACAGAAUUUCAGAGUGUGUUGCUCUCAAGCUGUUUAAAGAAUACAGGGAAGCCAGAAAUAGGCCGAAGGCCAUACCCCAAUCCAUCAUCAUGGCGUACUCUCACAUCAAGCAGCUAGUUGAGGACUGCAGAGAGAUUGUGGACAGAGGACAGAACUGACCAGCUACUGGUGAACAUUAACAACACCACAGUGUCCUUUUGGUGAGUUCAUCUUAAUAUCUUCAUAACUUGAUUGAAUUUAUUGAAUUU